rnacentral:misc_RNA from 1 species
GAUGAAGAACGCAGCGAAAUGCGAUAAGUAAUGCGAAUUGCAGAAUCCGUGAGUCAUCGAAUCUUUGAACGCACAUUGCGCCCCUUGGUUAUUCCGAAGGGCAUGCCUGUUCGAGCGUCAUUAUCACCCCUCAAGCCCUGGCUUGGUGUUGGACUUUAGUUAUAGCUUUGCCUAUCAACUGGUCUCAAAGAUAGUGACGGCGCCCCAGAGGGAACUGGGUACGAGGAGCUUUUUACUAAGCAUGUAUCUGGGACGACUCUGGGCGACGGUCUUGUUAUACUUUUUACCUAAGUGUUGACCUCGGAUCAGGUAGGAAUACCCGCUGAACUUAAGCAUAUCAAUAAGCGGAGGA